GGGGUAGUUGUUAGUACGUAUGCGCCAUGGAUGGCGAAUCGUGCAUGCUGCUACUAAGAACCAGCAGUAUCUUUUGAAGAUUUUCUAGCUCC
rfam:Glossina pallidipes unplaced genomic scaffold Scaffold359, whole genome shotgun sequence.